UCCCUGGUGGCUCAGAGGCUAAAGCAUCUGCCCGCAUUGCAGAAGACCCAGGUUCGAUCCCUGGAUUGGGAA
rnacentral:tRNA from 1 species